rnacentral:rRNA from 1 species
AACGAACGCCGGCGGCAGGCCUAACACAUGCAAGUCGAGCGCCCCAGCAAUGGGGAGGCGGCAGACGGGUGAGUAACGCGUGGGAACCUUCCCAAUGGUACGGAAUAGCCCAGGGAAACUUGGAGUAAUACCGUAUACGCCCGAAAGGGGAAAGAUUUAUCGCCAUUGGAUGGGCCCGCGUCUGAUUAGCUAGUUGGUGAGGUAACGGCUCACCAAGGCGACGAUCAGUAGCUGGUCUGAGAGGAUGAUCAGCCACACUGGGACUGAGACACGGCCCAAACUCCUACGGGAGGCAGCAGUGGGGAAGUAUUGGACAAUGGGCGCAAGCCUGAUCCAGCCAUGCCGCGUGAGUGACGAAGGUCUUCGAUUGUAAAGCUCUUUUGGCGGGACGGAUAAUGACGGUACCCGCAGAAUAAGCCCCGGCUAA